ensembl:snRNA U6 U6 spliceosomal RNA
GUGCUCACUUCAGCAGCACAUAUACUAAAAUUGGAACAAAACAGAGAAGACUAGCAUGGUCUCUGCGCAAGGAUGACACCUAAAUUCAUGAAGGCUUCCAUAUUUAA